GAUGAACGCUAGCGGCAGGCUUAAUACAUGCAAGUCAAGGGGGUAGCAAUACAACCGGCGCACGGGUGAGUAACGCGUACACAACAUACCAUAUACUGGAGUAUAGCUUCGGGAAACUGAAGGUAAUCCUCCAUAACAUUGCGAGAAGGCAUCUAAUUGCAAUUAAAGUUUCGACGGUAUAUGAUUGGUGUGCGUUUGUAUUAGCUAGUUGGUAGGGUAACGGCCUACCAAGGCGACGAUCAAUAGCUGGCGUGAGAGCGCGACCAGCCACACUGGAACUGAGACACGGUCCAGACUCCUACGGGAGGCAGCAGUAGGGAA
rnacentral:rRNA from 1 species